AUCUCGAUUUUUGUUCUAGGGUUUCUAUUCAUCCGAUGGAGCAAACUCUUUCUCCUUCAGGUUCAGUUGAUUCGAAGGAUACGCAUGGGCUUGUUGAAUCCAAUGCUUUAGAUUCUCCCAGUCCCAGUGUUAUCGAU